ACAGGCAGUCCGCGAGGGUGUAUUUUUGACUCUGGUCCAGAGGUGCAAGUUUGCGGAAAAUUGGCACAAAAGGUUGCAAGACCCAGUCAUGCAUUUGAUAAAGAGGAUCUUCAAACUCUUCAUCUUCCUCUGUGUUGUCAGGGAUAUAUUCUGGAUCUAGACGUUGAACAUGCUGAAGAUAUUCUGCAAGUAGGACAGGAGAGCUUUCGAAGUUCGCAGUAAAGAGGUCGAUCUUGAAAUGUUUGUCGGAAACAUACACAUUCAACUGGGUAUCCGUGUUUUUGUUGCUUGAUCGAAAGGGACCGAUAUUGUACAGAGGCUGUUGCUCCGCCAUGGCCGAAGUUGAGGUCAAGCAAAUGAUAGGUGCUAUCCCGACCUCUAUUGUUUUACAGUUGUAGGCUGCACGACAAGACGAGGUAGAAAAUAGGAUAACGAAGUAUAUUGCCGCAUUUUUAAAGAGGUUGGAUUGUGGUGUUGCGGGUCUUUUGAGUGGAAUCUUCGAUCAUGCAGACAGUAAACUUAGAAGCUGGGAGUGAGCCCCCUUGUGAUGUUAUGACCAUGAAUGUUUAGCGCCGA
rnacentral:sRNA from 2 species